GUUUCUGUAGUGUAGUGGUUCUCACAUUUGCCUAACAUACAAAAGGCCCCUAGUUCAAAACUGGACAGAAACA
rnacentral:tRNA from 1 species